UAGCUUUGUCCCUCCUUCAUUUAUUGGGU
rnacentral:piRNA from 1 species